UUUGGUGGACGUGUUUAUUAAUUAGUGUGUGUCAGGUGUAUAUAUGGUCAGUAGUGCGAUGGUGUUUAUUAAUUAGUGUGUGUAAGGUGUAUAUAUGGUCAGUAGUGCGAUGGUGUUUAUUAAUUAGUGUGUGUAAGGUGUAUAUAUGGUCAGUAGUGCGAUGGUGUUUAUUAAUUAGUGUGUGUAAGGUGUAUAUAUGGUCAGUAGUGAGGUGGUGUUUAUUAAUUAGUGUGUGUAAGGUGUAUAUAUGGUCAGUAGUGUGAUGGUGUUUAUUAAUUAGUGUGUGUAAGGUGUAUAUAUGGUCAGUAGUGUGAUGGUGUUUAUUAAUUAGUGUGUGUAAGGUGUAUAUAUGGUCAGUAGUGUGAUGGUGUUUAUUAAUUAGUGUGUGUGAGGUGUAUAUAUGGUCAGUAGUGCGAUGGUGUUUAUUAAUUAGUGUGUGUAAGGUGUAUAUAUGGUCAGUAGUGCGAUGGUGUUUAUUAAUUAGUGUGUGUAAGGUGUAUAUAUGGUCAGUAGUGAGAUGGUGUUUAUUAAUUAGUGUGUGUAAGGUGUAUAUAUGGUCAGUAGUGUGAUGGUGUUUAUUAAUUAGUGUGUGUAAGGUGUAUAUAUGGUCAGUAGUGAGAUGGUGUUUAUUAAUUAGUGUGUGUAAGGUGUAUAUAUGGUCAGUAGUGAGAUGGUGUUUAUUAAUUAGUGUGUGUAAGGUGUAUAUAUGGUCAGUAGUGCGAUGGUGUUUAUUAAUUAGUGUGUGUAAGGUGUAUAUAUGGUCAGUAGUGCGAUGGUGUUUAUUAAUUAGUGUGUGUAAGGUGUAUAUAUGGUCAGUAGUGAGAUGGUGUUUAUUAAUUAGUGUGUGUGAGGUGUAUAUAUGGUCAGUAGUGAGGUGGUGUUUAUUAAUUAGUGUGUGUAAGGUGUAUAUAUGGUCAGUAGUGCGAUGGUGUUUAUUAAUUAGUGUGUGUAAGGUGUAUAUAUGGUCAGUAGUGCGAUGGUGUUUAUUAAUUAGUGUGUGUAAGGUGUAUAUAUGGUCAGUAGUGCGAUGGUGUUUAUUAAUUAGUGUGUGUCAGGUGUAUAUAUGGUCAGUAGUGUGAUGGUGUUUAUUAAUUAGUGUGUGUAAGGUGUAUAUAUGGUCAGUAGUGCGAUGGUGUUUAUUAAUUAGUGUGUGUAAGGUGUAUAUAUGGUCAGUAGUGUGAUGGUGUUUAUUAAUUAGUGUGUGUAAGGUGUAUAUAUGGUCAGUAGUGCGAUGGUGUUUAUUAAUUAGUGUGUGUAAGGUGUAUAUAUGGUCAGUAGUGUGAUGGUGUUUAUUAAUUAGUGUGUGUAAGGUGUAUAUAUGGUCAGUAGUGCGAUGGUGUUUAUUAAUUAGUGUGUGUAAGGUGUAUAUAUGGUCAGUAGUGUGAUGGUGUUUAUUAAUUAGUGUGUGUAAGGUGUAUAUAUGGUCAGUAGUGUGAUGGUGUUUAUUAAUUAGUGUGUGUAAGGUGUAUAUAUGGUCAGUAGUGCGAUGGUGUUUAUUAAUUAGUGUGUGUAAGGUGUAUAUAUGGUCAGUAGUGUGAUGGUGUUUAUUAAUUAGUGUGUGUUAGGUGUAUAUAUGGUCAGUAGUGUGAUGGUGUUUAUUAAUUAGUGUGUGUAAGGUGUAUAUAUGGUCAGUAGUGAGAUGGUGUUUAUUAAUUAGUGUGUGUAAGGUGUAUGGUCAGUAGUGUGAUGGUGUUUAUUAAUUAGUGUGUGUAAGGUGUAUAUAUGGUCAGUAGUGAGAUGGUGUUUAUUAAUUAGUGUGUGUAAGGUGUAUGUAUAUAUGGUCAGUAGUGAGAUGGUGUUUAUUAAUUAGUGUGUGUAAGGUGUAUAUAUGGUCAGUAGUGUGAUGGUGUUUAUUAAUUAGUGUGUGAGGUGUAUAUAUGGUCAGUAGUGAGAUGGUGUUUAUUAAUUAGUGUGUGUCAGGUGUAUAUA